ACUCUAAGCGGUGGAUCACUCGGCUCAUGGGUCGAUGAAGAACGCAGCAAACUGUGCGUCAUCGUGUGAACUGCAGGACACAUGAACAUCGACAUUUUGAACGCAUAUCGCAGUCCAUGCUGUUAUGUACUUUAAUUAAUUUUAUAGUGCUGCUUGGACUACAUAUGGUUGAGGGUUGUAAGACUAUGCUAAUUAAGUUGCUUAUAAAUUUUUAUAAGCAUAUGGUAUAUUAUUGGAUAAAUAUAAUAAUUUUUAUUCAUAAUAUUAAAAAAUAAAUGAAAAACAUUAUCUCACAUUUGAAUGUGAAAAACGAAGAGAAAUAUUUUCUUUUUCAAUCAAAUAAUACUGAGAAAUGUCUAGCAUAAAAAAUUGAAAUAUUUUUCAUCUAGAAUUGUCUCUUAUUAAUGAUUCGGAAAUAGAAAAAUCUUGGUUAUGUUAUUAUUCUUCGUUGGUUCGUUAAAAAUGGAUAAAUAAAAACUUUGCAUACAAGAAUUAAUAAAAAUGUUAUAACGAAUUUAAUUAAAUGUUUUAUCAUUAUAUAUAAAGAAUUUAUGGCAAGAUAAAGUUAUAUACAACCUCAACUCAUAUGGGACUACCCCCUGAAUUUAAGCAUAUUAAUUAGGGGAGGAAAAGAAACUAACAAGGAUUUUCUUAGUAGCGGCGAGCGAAAAGAAAACAGUUCAGCACUAAGUCACUUUGUCUAUAUGGCAAAUGUGAGAUGCAGUGUAUGGAGCGUCAAUAUUCUAGUAUGAGAAAUUAACGAUUUAAGUCCUUCUUAAAUGAGGCCAUUUACCCAUAGAGGGUGCCAGGCCCGUAUAACGUUAAUGAUUACUAGAUGAUGUUUCCAAAGAGUCGUGUUGCUUGAUAGUGCAGCACUAAGUGGGUGGUAAACUCCAUCUAAAACUAAAUAUAACCAUGAGACCGAUAGUAAACAAGUACCGUGAGGGAAAGUUGAAAAGAACUCUGAAUAGAGAGUUAAACAGUACGUGAAACUGCUUAGAGGUUAAGCCCGAUGAACCUGAAUAUCCGUUAUGGAAAAUUCAUCAUUAAAAUUGUAAUAUUUAAAUAAUAUUAUGAGAAUAGUGUGCAUUUUUUCCAUAUAAGGACAUUGUAAUCUAUUAGCAUAUACCAAAUUUAUCAUAAAAUAUAACUUAUAGUUUAUUCCAAUUAAAUUGCUUGCAUUUUAACACAGAAUAAAUGUUAUUAAUUUGAUAAAGUGCUGAUAGAUUUAUAUGAUUACAGUGCGUUAAUUUUUCGGAAUUAUAUAAUGGCAUAAUUAUCAUUGAUUUUUGUGUUUAUUAUAUGCACUUGUAUGAUUAACAAUGCGAAAGAUUCAGGAUACCUUCGGGACCCGUCUUGAAACACGGACCAAGGAGUCUAACAUAUGUGCAAGUUAUUGGGAUAUAAACCUAAUAGCGUAAUUAACUUGACUAAUAAUGGGAUUAGUUUUUUAGCUAUUUAUAGCUAAUUAACACAAUCCCGGGGCGUUCUAUAUAGUUAUGUAUAAUGUAUAUUUAUAUUAUUUAUGCCUCUAACUGGAACGUACCUUGAGCAUAUAUGCUGUGACCCGAAAGAUGGUGAACUAUACUUGAUCAGGUUGAAGUCAGGGGAAACCCUGAUGGAAGACCGAAACAGUUCUGACGUGCAAAUCGAUUGUCAGAAUUGAGUAUAGGGGCGAAAGACCAAUCGAACCAUCUAGUAGCUGGUUCCUUCCGAAGUUUCCCUCAGGAUAGCUGGUGCAUUUUAAUAUUAUAUAAAAUAAUCUUAUCUGGUAAAGCGAAUGAUUAGAGGCCUUAGGGUCGAAACGAUCUUAACCUAUUCUCAAACUUUAAAUGGGUAAGAACCUUAACUUUCUUGAUAUGAAGUUCAAGGUUAUGAUAUAAUGUGCCCAGUGGGCCACUUUUGGUAAGCAGAACUGGCGCUGUGGGAUGAACCAAACGUAAUGUUACGGUGCCCAAAUUAACAACUCAUGCAGAUACCAUGAAAGGCGUUGGUUGCUUAAAACAGCAGGACGGUGAUCAUGGAAGUCGAAAUCCGCUAAGGAGUGUGUAACAACUCACCUGCCGAAGCAACUAGCCCUUAAAAUGGAUGGCGCUUAAGUUGUAUACCUAUACAUUACCGCUAAAGUAGAUGAUUUAUAUUACUUGUGAUAUAAAUUUUGAAACUUUAGUGAGUAGGAAGGUACAAUGGUAUGCGUAGAAGUGUUUGGCGUAAGCCUGCAUGGAGCUGCCAUUGGUACAGAUCUUGGUGGUAGUAGCAAAUAAUCGAAUGAGACCUUGGAGGACUGAAGUGGAGAAGGGUUUCGUGUGAACAGUGGUUGAUCACGAGUUAGUCGGUCCUAAGUUCAAGGCGAAAGCCGAAAAUUUUCAAGUAAAACAAAAAUGCCUAACUAUAUAAACAAAGCGAAUUAUAAUACACUUGAAUAAUUUUGAACGAAAGGGAAUACGGUUCCAAUUCCGUAACCUGUUGAGUAUCCGUUUGUUAUUAAAUAUGGGCCUCGUGCUCAUCCUGGCAACAGGAACGACCAUAAAGAAGCCGUCGAGAGAUAUCGGAAGAGUUUUCUUUUCUGUUUUAUAGCCGUACUACCAUGGAAGUCUUUCGCAGAGAGAUAUGGUAGAUGGGCUAGAAGAGCAUGACAUAUACUGUUGUGUCGAUAUUUUCUCCUCGGACCUUGAAAAUUUAUGGUGGGGACACGCAAACUUCUCAACAGGCCGUACCAAUAUCCGCAGCUGGUCUCCAAGGUGAAGAGUCUCUAGUCGAUAGAAUAAUGUAGGUAAGGGAAGUCGGCAAAUUAGAUCCGUAACUUCGGGAUAAGGAUUGGCUCUGAAGAUUGAGAUAGUCGGGCUUGAUUGGGAAACAAUAACAUGGUUUAUGUGCUCGUUCUGGGUAAAUAGAGUUUCUAGCAUUUAUGUUAGUUACUUGUUCCCCGGAUAGUUUAGUUACGUAGCCAAUUGUGGAACUUUCUUGCUAAAAUUUUUAAGAAUACUAUUUGGGUUAAACCAAUUAGUUCUUAUUAAUUAUAACGAUUAUCAAUUAACAAUCAAUUCAGAACUGGCACGGACUUGGGGAAUCCGACUGUCUAAUUAAAACAAAGCAUUGUGAUGGCCCUAGCGGGUGUUGACACAAUGUGAUUUCUGCCCAGUGCUCUGAAUGUCAAAGUGAAGAAAUUCAAGUAAGCGCGGGUCAACGGCGGGAGUAACUAUGACUCUCUUAAGGUAGCCAAAUGCCUCGUCAUCUAAUUAGUGAGCAAUGAUCAAGAGAAGACUCAACGGCUGGCAUGUUGCGGAGAAGUGUUCCUGAGGAGGAGGGGCGUUUAGCUCGGCAUCUCUGCCGUGUGGUUAGCGGGCGAGAAUACUACCACAGUCCGCUGUUGCUUGUCGUAAGAGACGACU
rnacentral:rRNA from 1 species